GGCCUUGCUCUUAUGCCAUCUGACUAAAGGUUUCAUAGACCAAAGAUAACCAUCCAACUUGUUGGAAUACUGAAACAAUUGCUGCCUGCUGUCCACACACCACAUAAAAUAUGUGGAUUUCGUAAAUUCUGCAAAAAAGGUUUGGAAGCUGAUCAAUCAAUACUGGAACUCCCUCUUCUCCAGAAGAGACAUCCUGGCCUCCAUGCAGAGGAAUGUGUGGAUGGACAUAUAUUUAAGGAAGACACUAAACCAGAAACUACUACAUUACACCCUCUUAGAAGACUUCUAAGAUUGUUGUCAUGCCUACCACACACAUUCAGAUGAUGUGUAUUGUUGAUUGUGAUUUCAUGUUUGGACCUGAUGAAGGAGUUUGAAGUCUCCAGAGCAGCAAAGAGAGUGGGGAGUAGAACUCAUCAUCUUUAGGUCACUCAUCAUCG
rnacentral:lncRNA from 1 species